GACGAACGCUGGCGGCGUGCUUAACACAUGCAAGUCGAACGGAAAGGCCCUGCUUUUGUGGGGUGCUCGAGUGGCGAACGGGUGAGUAACACGUGAGUAACCUGCCCUUGACUUUGGGAUAACUUCAGGAAACUGGGGCUAAUACCGGAUAGGAGCUCCUGCUGCAUGGUGGGGGUUGGAAAGUUUCGGCGGUUGGGGAUGGACUCGCGGCUUAUCAGCUUGUUGGUGGGGUAGUGGCUUACCAAGGCUUUGACGGGUAGCCGGCCUGAGAGGGUGACCGGCCACAUUGGGACUGAGAUACGGCCCAGACUCCAACGGGAGGCAGCAGUGGGGAACAUGGCACAAUGGGCGGAAGCCUGAUGCAGCAACGCCGCGUGCGGGAUGACGGCCUUCGGGUUGUAAACCGCUUUCGCCUGUGACGAAGCGUGAGUGACGGUAAUGGGUAAAGAAGCACCGGCUAACUACGUG
rnacentral:rRNA from 1 species